GACGUAUCGGUUGUUGCUUCCCUCUGCAGCCGUCUCCCUGCGCCUUUAUUCCGCUCUAAAUCCCAUCGCCUCGCCCCCUCCGCCGUGUCCUCGCUCCUCCACCGGCGCUCCCGGUGACGCUCCUCCGCCGUCGCGUCGCCCGGCGGAGUUCAUUCGGUGCUGUCCCAGCUGGUGAGUUGAUCCGAUCGGAAAUUUGCCGGGGAUUGGGUUCCAGACAAGAAGAUGGAGUCCUGAGCUCGCUCGCCUCUGUUUUCCCCCACUUCUUCGUAGAUCUCUUCUUGAGCAUGUUGACAUUUUUGUUGUGUAAUACUUUUGAGAUGCCACAUAAUCUGCAAUAAGAACAAUAGUAGGCUAUAUUAUAUUUUUGAAGGGAUGAAAGGGGGAAUCUUACAGAAAGUCAGAGGCUCUAAACUUUCUUUGGUACUUACUGCCCUCAUGUGCACAACCCUUGUUAUUUGGGCAUGGGAGAAAACACCAGCUCUAUCUGUUAUAUUUCCACCACUAGAACGAUUUGAUAUUCUUUCUCCAGUAGUUCCUGCCAAAACUUCUGCGACUUCCUCAGAUGAUACACAUCGGCUGGCAUCUGCAGAUAAGAAUUUGUCAGCUGCAGAUGAAAUGGAGAGUUCAUCAUCUAAUGAAACAGAGCCUGUUCUCAGUCUUCCAGCAAGCGAGUCUUCAGCCACAAGCACACCUAAUAAUUCAACAUCUGAUAAAGAUCUGAAAGAGAGUCCCAUGCAGGAGAAAGAGUGUAAUUAUGCAAAAGGAAAAUGGGUUGCGGACACAAGACGACCUUUAUAUUCGGGUUCUGCUUGCAAGCAGUGGCUGUCAGGGAUGUGGGCAUGUAGGUUAAUGCAACGUACUGAUUUUUCGUAUGAGAAUUUUCGGUGGCAACCACAAGGUUGUGUGAUGCCAGAAUUCUCAAGGAGCGACUUUUUGAGAAGAAUGCAGAAUAAGACAAUUGCUCUGAUAGGAGAUUCUUUGGGAAGGCAGCAAUUCCAAUCUCUCAUGUGCAUGGUCACUGGUGGUGAAACAAGCCCAGAAGUGGAAGAUGUUGGAAAAGACUAUGGCCUUGUGAAAGCUCCUGGUGCCUUAAGACCUGAUGGUUGGGCUUAUCGGUUUCCAAGUACCAACACAACCAUUCUGUAUUAUUGGUCUGCAAGUUUAUGUGAACUGGAGCCUUUGAAUAAAUCAGACCCAGCUACCCAUUAUGCGUUGCAUCUUGACCGACCUGUAACAUUCUUAAAGCAGCAUCUUUGCAGGUUUGAUGUGUUGGUACUUAACACGGGGCACCACUGGAAUAGAGAGAAGUUCAGAGGAAACCGGUGGGAGAUGUAUGCUGGAGGGAUGCCAAUCACUGAUGGAGAGCUUGCAGACAUGAGGAACUUAAAAAAUCUCACUUUGCACAGUAUUGCUAAGUGGGUUGAUUCGCAGCUUUUGCAACAUCCACAGCUAAAAGCUUUUGUUAGGACAAUGUCCCCUAGGCAUUUUGUCAAUGGAGACUGGAACACCGGGGGAAGCUGUGACAACACUGUUCCAUUGGCUGGUGGAAGCGAGGUUUUACAAGAUCGUUCUAGUGAUCCUGUUGCUGAGGAUGCAAUCAAAGGAACAAGUGUUACGCUAUUGGAUAUUACAUCUUUGUCACAACUGAGAGACGAGGGACACAUAUCCAAAUACACUCUUAAGGCCUCAACAGGCAUGCAGGAUUGCUUGCAUUGGUGCCUUCCAGGUAUUCCUGAUACAUGGAACGAAAUACUCUAUGCACAAAUAUAGACGCAUCGAAAGGCAAACAUACUUUGUGAAGCAGCACAGUUGAAUGAUUCCAGAACACCUUUUCUCCAUACGAGUCAUUAUUGCAAGCUCAAUGGUUCUUGUUGGAAGUCAUCCCCUUUCUCUCAAUGGACCUUUGAGCAACUUUCCUGGAUCUCCAAAGAAUCAAUAUCAGCAGGAAUAUCCAAAGUACAUGUCACUAUAUUAGGUUGUUUUUUGCCGAAGACAUAGUUGAGAACUAAAACAUCAGCCUUUUGUUGGCUGAGAGCACUCCAUAUCUGUUUGCAGAAAUUAUGGUUUUCAGAACACAGAUUAUGAAUCACCUGACAAUUCUAUGAAGAGUUUCUUGCCUUGAUCAUGUAACUCUUAACUGCUUGGUUCUGAAGCAUUCAACAUAUAUAGUAAUUUCAAAUUUUGCUAUGCUCUGUUAUGGGGAUUCGUUAUCAUUCAUUAUUUUAGGUUGACUUGUUUUAUUUUCAAGACAUGAUUAGCU